rnacentral:lncRNA from 1 species
AAAGACUUGGCUGACAGCAGCAAGGAAGUAGCACUCAGUGUUCAAAAAUCAUAAAUUAGAGUUCACAUUUGAUAAGCAAAUCUUCAUCAAGCUAUAUGAUUACUGCAUAAUUAUUCAAGUGUUUUGGCAUUCCUCUUGCUGAUGACACAAUUCCUGUGUGAAUCUGUUUACAAGAUUCUGAAAACUGAACAGAGAAUUUUGGCACUGCACUGGGUAGGAAAAAGCUUUACAAGAAAUAGAUAACAUCAAGGACAUCGGGAGUGGGAGAGAUUGGACUGGGAGACUCAGCAGUUACGGAGAAAAUUGUGGGCAGUAUAAGAGUGACUUCCUUGCUGUGUGAAAUUACCUUGUCCUGAAUUUCUUCUGGUCUCUUCUCAGUGUGGAAAAACAUGUCUAAGGAAAGCUACUUUGUGAUGGUAGCUUGGAACUGCUCUCAUGAACAAGCCUUUUCUUCAUUCUGUCUUGCAGGGGAACAUAUGUCUUUCUAGUUGCCUAUGUCACUAUGGGAGAAAAUUGCUUCAAGUAAAAUAAAAAUAAGUAUGAACUGGUUCCCUAAAUGGCCCAUUUGCAAAUUAAGUUUGUAGAAAUUUAUCUUUUCUGUUUUUCUUGCUAGAGUCUACAAUCUGG